GCAUAUCAAUAAGCGGAGGAAAAGAAACCAACAGGGAUUGCCCCAGUAACGGCGAGUGAAGCGGCAACAGCUCAAAUUUGAAAUCUGGCCUCGGCCCGAGUUGUAAUUUGCAGAGGAUGCUUCUGGCGCGGCGCCUUCCGAGUUCCCUGGAACGGGACGCCACAGAGGGUGAGAGCCCCGUAUGGUCGGACGCCAAGCCAGUGUGAAGCUCCUUCGAAGAGUCGAGUAGUUUGGGAAUGCUGCUCUAAGCGGGAGGUAUACGUCUUCUAAAGCUAAAUACCGGCCAGAGACCGAUAGCGCACAAGUAGAGUGAUCGAAAGAUGAAAAGCACCUUGAAAAGGGGGUUAAACAGUACGUGAAAUUGUUGAAAGGGAAGCGCCUGUGACCAGACUUGCGCCGGGCGGAUCAUCCAGCGUUCUCGCUGGUGCGCUCCGCCCGGCUCAGGCCAGCAUCGGUUCUGGCGGGGGGAUAAAGGCGGCGGGAACGUGGCUCCCCCGGGAGUGUUAUAGCCCGCCGUGCAAUGCCCCCGCCGGGACCGAGGUUCGCGCAUCUGCAAGGAUGCUGGCGUAAUGGUCACCAGCGACCCGUCUUGAAACACGGACC
rnacentral:rRNA from 1 species